ensembl:rRNA 5S_rRNA 5S ribosomal RNA
AUCCACAGCCAUCUUACUCUGCAGCCCAAGACUGGUUACUCACUCAAGCUAAGCAGGCCUGAACCUGGCCAGUACAUGGAUGGGAGACCACAUGGGAAAACUAGGUUGCUGUUGGCA